rnacentral:lncRNA from 1 species
UUUAUUUUCUUUUCGUUUGACACUUGAUAUUGACAGACAACAUUGGCAGCUGUCAGUAACAACAGUGUUAAAUGCAAUGGUCAGAAAAUAAGUGUGAAAUUCCAGAAAAGACCCUUUGACAAUUCCAGCAUAUCGUGUACGCACUCAUGGAAGACGGCAAGAUAGAAAGUGGCGUGCAUAGGGCUGGUAGAUAAGAUUUUAACUCUCUUCCUGAAUAAGGAGGCAGCAAUGGCGAAGGGGAUCCAUGCAAGGAGGACCCAUGUAUAUAAUUUAAAAUAGCAUCUUAGUCAUCAACAAAAAGGAGACUUUCCCAGUGCUGUACCACCCUUGGAUGGCUAUCAGUAGGAAUUCAAAAGAGCAACGGCCUCAAAUUACUACCCUGUGGCCCAGCAAAAACUGCAGAAAAACCCUCAGACCUUGAUUUUGCAACUUUAAAAACCUGUUGUAGUGAGGUCAGGUACUUUACGUGAAAAUCGAGUAGAAAAUAGCCCACUAAGGUCAAAGCAAGAAUGGAAAACUGAAAAAAAGGCUUCUGUCAUAAGUCUGCAUGUCAAGAUGUUGUAGUUGUUCAAUGGAAGGAACAAAGUUGUAGCAGCUGCUUCAAAUUUUGAUGUAUCUGCAAACACAACAGCUCCACGUUACUGCAGAGAAACUAAAUCUAAGGUAAAUGUUCCACAGCCAGGCAUAAUAUAUAAUUAUAAUAGAGGGAUGGGUGGGGUAGAUAAAUUAGACAACAUGGAUGCCAACUAUAGGGCCCGAAUAAGACAAAGAAAAUGGUGGUGGCCAAUUUUCUAUUUCGAAGAAACAUAGCCCUAGCUUUGCGGCAUUCAUAUGGCGUAAAGUCUGUAAAAGGGAAACUAAGACCAACCUUACCGCUGGAUGUUAGGCUUGAUAAUAUCAAUCAUUUGGUGGAAUAUUCUGAGACUGAUAGAAAAUGUGCAUUUUGCAAAAAAAGGCAAAUUUUGUUUGCAUAAAAUGUAAUGACUUCAAGGCUUAUCACACUAAAUAGGCAUAUCAAAGAAUACAUUUUUUGUUGAUUAUCAGAAUUUUUAUUUUGUUAUUUUUAGCACAAUGUCCCUCAUAAGGGACUGUUCUUUUUUUCAAAUGAAUACAUUUCUUGUUUUUUUUUCCACAUUUGCCUGCUUAUUUCAAGUACACUAAACAAAUGUUUAAUAAAAAACGUAUGUGUUUCUUAUUCCAUGCUACUUCAUGCACUAAUGGGUUAAAUAAGUUUUGGUUAAAAGUCUCUUUACUGCUUUAUUUUUAUAUCAAAAAAAUAUUACUGUAGCUUUCGCUAAAAUCCGAUAGGGGCAUUGACUUGGGGAUUUACGUUAUUCAAGUUAACGAUAUAUAUUUUUUUAUGCUAUUAAGAGCAGGGAACAAAGCUAAAUAGAUUGGUAAAAACCGCAUUCAGAUAUAACUACUCAAACUAAAGUUAUUAAAAAAAAAUGUAACCAUUAAAAAAUUAAAAUUACAAAAAUCGUCGUAAAUUCAUAUUGCAUUAGUCGAAUUGAGAAAACUUGUGUUUAAAUGAAUAUUCGUUUAAAGAAAGAAACUUAGUAUAAGUAGGUUUUCGAAAAUCCAUGAGGAGGCGGUCUUUCAUAUAAUACAUUUAUAUUAAUAGAUUAUUUCGUCCUAGAUUUUCAAAAUGGGCGCCCCUAUGUUCACUCGUAGACUUUGUCUAGCUAAGAAAAGGUACAGCACGUGUUGUUCGGCUCGGUUGCGCAGUAAAUUUGUUGACGCCGCUGCCAAAGCAACGGUAUCGAUCGCCCCGAUUUGCAUAUAAACACUGCCGUUGCGUUAAUUCUUAUAUUUGUGUUCUGUGCCUUUUAGUGUUUAUGUCUUUUCUUAAAAAAGGCGGGCUACUGUCGCUAAUCGCGCGUUAUUAGGGGACAUAACUUGGCGCAGCUUUGAAACAGAUGGUGUACCUUUCCUUAGCUAGACAAACUCUAGCUGCAAUUUUUCCCUCCCUCGUAGAGAUAUUGACACAUUCAAUUUCCUCUCUAGGCAAACCAUGUAUCGCAUUUUAAAUUCUGAGGAUCAUAUUUUCUGAAUGUAGGCCUGGUCCGAAAAACGAGGUCUUUUACUCUUCCCUAGAGGUAAAAAUCUAAAACGGUCAAGUGGGGUGACCUGGCUGGCCAUAGAAACAGGCUUUCUCUUUCUAUACAUCGAGUAUAGGAAGUAUGGGAAUGCAGCAUUUAACACCUAAUUGCAGCAAUGGGUAUUGUCGCGCCAACGGAAAGCUACCCGCUUUAGGUGGUUACGACGGUUCGAUAAAAAUAAAACACCCAGUAAAACAGUCACUAAGAUGCUUUAUUUAAACAAGGGAUUAUUACAAAAGUUAACUAGCGAAAUUAAAAACAAAAAAAAAACCCAGACCGAAAAAAGAUACAUAAAAAGUGUUCUUUAAAAUUAAUGUGUACUCUUAAGACUACAAAAAUACUAAAAAAUCUAUUCGAUAUAAAAUCUCAAAGCCUUUCACCGAACAAAACAGUUUUUUUAUUUCGUUUCCUUACCGUUAAAACAUUAAAUAAAAUUCUGCUUAUGAGGCAGCGGCUUCGACGGUAUACCCGUGAAAUACAGACUAAACAACUUUUUUCCCGGUGCCUUAAAUGGAUUUAUUAAGAUCCAGAUUUACAUCUCCCAAUAAAAUUGGCAAUGUGUUUCUGCGGAACUCUAGAUAUUACCUCUUAGUGCCUCGUCAAAGACAUAUGGUCCUAUAAUUGUGCCACCUAUUAUACCACACCAUACAUUUAUACUACAGCGUCCUUGAUGCUGAAGUUCUUGCUUCCAAUGGGGAUUUAUGAAGACCAAUAAUGUAUAUCAUGCCGAUUUACCCCACCAUUGCUAUUAAAAGUAGACUCGCCUGUACAAAGAAUUCUGUAUAGAAAUUGAGGGUUUUCGUUAACCAUUCCCAGAAGCCAAUGGCAAUAAUCGAGUCGUCUAUCGAAAUCCGUAUCUGUCAAAGCUUAGUGCAGAACGACAUGAUAGGGAUGUAAUCUGAAAGUAAACUAAAUUUGCAUCAAUAUGAAUCCUAUUUGAUUAACCUCUAAGAUAUUGUAUAUACAGGGUGAUUCAGUUUAAGCGUCAUUAAUUUUAAUUUGUGAUAGAGAAUUUAAAAAGAAAUAAACUUUCAUUAUAAAAUUUUUCUCACAAAUGUUUAAUAACAAAGAUACAGGGUGCUAAAGUUAAGAAUAAUUAAUUGUUUAUUUAUCAUAACUUUUAAACUACCUGCUCAAUUUUAAUUAAAUUUGCGCAUGCAGGUUAUUGUAUUGAAUUAUCAAGUACUGAUAAAGGCAAUUUCUAAUAAAAUUGCCAGUGGCGUAACAUAUGGAGGGACUUGGUCCCUUUUUGUCUUAAAUCUGCAAGGUGAAAAAAUAUUUUUUUAUAUGAAGUCAACUGUUAGAUUUUCCAUUUAGUUUGGAAAAAAAAGUUACCCUUGCAAAAUUAUGAUUUAAGGUACUCUUUUUAAAAUAUCUUAGUUUAGUUUACAAACGCCAGUUACAACUGCUGCAAAAAUUAAAAAAAAAAAAGAAAAUUAGGCUUGAAUCUUAAAUUAAACCUGACAAAUAAAAGAAUGACUUAAGGUAACUUUUCAUCAUUGACAUCUUUUAUAUUCAACUUUUUUUCAAAUCCAAGCCCAAUUUCCUUUUUUUUAUUAAUUAAUUUUUGCAACAUUUUGGCAGGUAUUUCUGAACAAUUAAAGUAAAACAUUUUGAAAACAGUGCCUUAAAUCAUAAUUUUGCAAGAGUAACUUUUCGUUUCAAAUUAAAUGGAGAAUCUAAGA